rnacentral:misc_RNA from 1 species
UCUCUUUAAGACCUUCUCUUAUCAUUUCUCAUUCCGUAGAAGCUUGUAUGCAUUUAUUUCUAUACUAUACAUGGAAGCAGGGGGAUGGAUGCAUAUCAGUAAAUCACCGUCAAACUCAGUUGGAUUCUGAACUUAUAUAAGAAGAGCACCUUUUCCUUGUUCACCAUCAAAUAUUCACAUUGCUUAUCUCCUCUUUUGCUCUUCUCAAUGGCUUACAUGAGCAAGUUGUCUCUUAUUGCUCUACUUGUCUUGUUUGCCAUAUCGAGGCAUGCAAUUGCAGGGCGCCAAAUUCCAAUGAAAACCAACCAAAUUCCAGAGAAUACCAAGGAUGUGGACUUGAAACAAUCCAAGUUUCUUUUUAAAUCUCUUCACGAUAAAUAUCAUGACAAUAGCUUCCUUAUUCCAGGCAUCGGCCGGGUGAUGGUGCCACCUGCUUUCAGUGUUCCUUCCUAUGGUCCACACAGGGGCAUUGGAGGCAUUGGAGGCUCUAUUCCAGGCACUGGAGGCUCUAUUCCAGGUGGUGAUGAUGCAUUCAUCCCCGGAGGUGGUUCUGUUCCAGCACCUGCUCAUCCUUGAGCAUGCACUGCUGCUUCCUAAUAAACAACAGCUAGCAUCAAUGCCAGGUGCAUGCGCAAGUUUUAAUAUGGUAUAUGUUUGUAUUUGGGGUUUGUUUUUAUGGAAGUCUUCAUCUAUUAAGUUCUCUCCUUGAGAUACAAAUAAUUACUGUUGGAUGUACUAGUCCAAUUCUAACAUUAGAAUGGGACCUUGAACCUAUCCUGCUUCCUUUCUCAAGAUGUACCCGUCCAAGUCUGCAUUUCUGAUCAAUAAAUUAUGAUUAUUUAGAUCCCGUCAUUUAUGCCUGUCUUGCAAUAACGAAAUUGUUCUCAAUGUGCUAUUAUCAAUAAUAAAGCACAGGGAGAUGUGGAGAAUUUGUCUUCACAGCUCAAUAAAUAAACAAUAUGUGCUUGUAGUUUAACAUGCGAUAGGGCACUACACUUCAUAAAAAAUGCAGACGUAGCUUAGUGGAUGGACAUCAACCAAGGAAGAAAAUGAAUAAAAAAAGAAAGGAUCCAUAGGCUGCACUUUAUUGUGUGACCAAAACUAA